rnacentral:rRNA from 1 species
UCUGGCUCAGAUUGAACGCUGGCGGCAGGCCUAACACAUGCAAGUCGAACGGUAGCACAGAGAGCUUGCUCUCGGGUGACGAGUGGCGGACGGGUGAGUAAUGUCUGGGAAACUGCCCGAUGGAGGGGGAUAACUACUGGAAACGGUAGCUAAUACCGCAUAACGUCUUCGGACCAAAGUGGGGGACCUUCGGGCCUCACACCAUCGGAUGUGCCCAGAUGGGAUUAGCUAGUAGGUGGGGUAAUGGCUCACCUAGGCGACGAUCCCUAGCUGGUCUGAGAGGAUGACCAGCCACACUGGAACUGAGACACGGUCCAGACUCCUACGGGAGGCAGCAGUGGGGAAUAUUGCACAAUGGGCGCAAGCCUGAUGCAGCCAUGCCGCGUGUAUGAAGAAGGCCUUCGGG